GGGCUUGGGAUACCUGGG
rnacentral:siRNA from 1 species